rnacentral:rRNA from 1 species
UACGAGGGGGGCAAGCGUUGUUCGGAAUUAUUGGGCGUAAAGGGUGCGUAGGCGGUUUGGUAAGUCUGAUGUGAAAUCUAUGGGCUCAACUCAUAGUCUGCAUCGGAAACUGCCGGGCUUGAGUGUGGGAGAGGUGAGUGGAAUUCCUGGUGUAGCGGUGAAAUGCGUAGAUAUCAGGAGGAACACCUGUGGCGAAAAGCGGCUCACUGGACCAUAACUGACGCUGAUGCACGAAAAGCGUGGGGGAGCAAACAGG